rnacentral:rRNA from 1 species
CAGCCGCCGCGGGAAUACGUAGGGUGCGAGCGUUAAUCGGAAUUACUGGGCGUAAAGCGUGCGCAGGCGGUUUUGUAAGACAGGCGUGAAAUCCCCGGGCUCAACCUGGGAAUGGCGCUUGUGACUGCAAAGCUAGAGUGCGGCAGAGGGGGAUGGAAUUCCGCGUGUAGCAGUGAAAUGCGUAGAUAUGCGGAGGAACACCGAUGGCGAAGGCAAUCCCCUGGGCCUGCACUGACGCUCAUGCACGAGAGCGUGGGGAGCAAACAGGAUUAGAUACCCGCGUAGUCCCUGUCUCUUAUAC